UACAGAGGGGGCAAGCGUUAAUCGGAAUCAUUGGGCGUAAAGCGUGCGUAGACGGUUGGGUAAGUCAGAUGUGAAAGCCCCGGGCUCAACCUGGGAAUUGCAUUUGAGACUGCGUAGCUAGGGUGCGGAAGAGGGAAGCGGAAUUUCCGGUGUAGCGGUGAAAUGCGUAGAUAUCGGAAGGAACACCAGUGGCGAAAGCGGCUUCCUGGUCCAGCACCGACGUUCAGGCACGAAAGCGUGGGGAGCAAACAGG
rnacentral:rRNA from 1 species